ACCAUAGCCUUGCUAUCACAGAGGAAGAAACAUAAGAGAUACUGUAGUAGUGACCGACAUUGCUAAACUAAAAAAUCCACAGAUGUAGAUACGGUGGACGUGAGUCUGCUGCAGAUGACGUCGGCUCUAAUCAGAAUUGGCGCGCUGGUGCACCGGUACACUGGGUGUGCGAUUACUACUUAAGAUUUGAUUUCCUCAAUUGCCUCAACUGUAACCUUACAGUAUGGAUUUGCGGAUAUACACUGGGAUACAUG